GACGAACGCUGGCGGCGUGCUUAACACAUGCAAGUCGAACGGAAAGGCCCUGCUUUUGUGGGUUGCUCGAGUGGCGAACGGGUGAGUAACACGUGAGUAACCUGCCCUUGACUUUGGGAUAACUUCAGGAAACUGGGGCUAAUACCGGAUAGGAGCUCCUGCUGCAUGGUGGGGGUUGGAAAGUUUCGGCGGUUGGGGAUGGACUCGCGGCUUAUGAGCUUGUUGGUGGGGUAGUGGCUUACCAAGGCUUUGACGGGUAGCCGGCCUGAGAGGGUGACCGGCCACAUUGGGACUGCGGUACGGCCCAGACUCCUACGGGAGGCAGCAGUGGGGAAUAUUGCACAAUGGGCGGAAGCCUGAUGCAGCAACGCCGCGUGCGGGAUGACGGCCUUCGGGUUGUAAACCGCUUUCGCCUGUGACGAAGCGUGAGUGACGGUAAUGGGUAAAGAAGCACCGGCUAACUACGUG
rnacentral:rRNA from 1 species